GAUUUGAGAGACCUUUGAGCCAUCCAAAAAUUGGAGAGAAAGACCUUUGGGUCGUGGAGAUAUAAAAGACACAAGUUAGGGUGUCUAGAGAGAGAAACGAGAAGAAGAAGAGGGUCUUCUUCUAGGGUUAUUUGUUUUCAUAUCUUUCCUCCCUCCAUCUUGAGUUUUCUGAGAGCGUCUCAGAUCUGAAACUCCUCCUUCUACUUUUCAUCUUUGGAAGAGUUCAAAUCAAGAAGAAGGAGGCACCUGAUCAACCAUCAAAGAAGGAUCAGCGCAGUACUAGCAUACUAUGCUGAUUUCCUGAAGCAGGACUUCUGAUCGAGAUUCGUGGGCUCCUGUGGACGACUCCUAG
rnacentral:lncRNA from 1 species